AAGAUGCAAAACACAAGGUAACAAAGUGAAGAAGCAGUAAUAAUGUUGGGAAACUUUGUCAGAGUUCUAUAAUGUUAAUUGAUUCUUUAAAUGUUGCACAUCCCAGGCAGACACUCCUAUUUAGCAUGUGGUAUAUCAAAAUUGAGCAGGACACCCAGAGAGGGGCUUUAAUUUAUUUUGAAGUUGCAAUCAUCUAGUUCUUGUAGAACAAUUUGUCAUAUGUCACCAAAUAAAUAACACUGCAGGGCAUUUAAGUUUCUUAAAAUCACAGCAGCUGCUUUUCCAAGUGCUGCUAGAUCUGUGUACAUCGUUACAGGGGUCUGCAACAUGUUCCAUGGAUCCCAAUGAAGUUUUAUGUAAUUUUUAUAUUCAUAUAAUAUGAAGUAUUAUGAACACACAUUGUAAACGUCAAUAUGACAAUUUACCAUUAGAUGUUCCACUCAAGCAAGGUCAGAUCAGAUAAGGAGUUCAGGGGAUUUGCAAAGAGGAAAGGGAAAGAGAAAUUCAACCCAGCAAAGUAUCUCCAAGCUUCUCCAGCCCCAUCAUGUCCUGCUUUUCCCCAGAACACACCAAAAAAUCAGCUUUAUUGGUUGUAGCAGUACAUUGCUUUGUUCCUCGUGGAUUAAAUACUAACCCAAAUUUUUGCCUUCGGACACCUAGAACAACCUCCCUCCUCCCACUUGCCUCAUACAUGUCCACACUGCAGGAUGAAAGGAGGGCCAAAAUGGCUUAAACCUUUAGCUGUAAACCUAAAACAUCUCUCCUUUGGCCUACGGGAGGUUCCCUGUCUUCAUUGAUCCACCAACUGUUUAUUUUAAUACCAAAUAAAGCAGAAAGGGUCUUUAUGUCCCUCAUAAGGUCAGCUACACAGUUCAGUACAAACAUACAGCUCAACAACCAAACAAAUCAUAUUUUUUUCUGUUUUCAAAUUGUCCAGCAGCAUACCACAGUAUCUGCAGAGUGAGGUAGUCACAAUAGCCUCUGUGUAGGAUUUUUAUCUUUUAGCUGAUCAGCAAGAUAUAUCUUCCCAGUUUUGAGCAUCUUCAGCUAAAAGCAUUUUGGUUUACAGAAUAAUAAAGCAAUACGUUUUUGUUCCAUGACUCUAUAAUAAAGCAAUACAUUUUUGUUCCGUGACUCUGAAUGUAAUACAUGGCUUUCCUUGCAAGCCUUGCUGUGGAUCCGAAAAAAAGAAAUCUAUCAUCAUUUGCAGUAUUUGCUAUAAUUUUCAAUUUCCAUGAAUACUGUUGCCAGCAAACUACUUUACAAAAACAUUUGAGUAAACAAGAAAGGGAGUAAAUGUGAGUACAGUCAAAGGGAAGUUCCUUAAAAAUGUGAAUGAAUAUUCACCCUGUUCCAUAGCUGUUUCCAGGCUUCUAUCAGUUGGAGGUACUACCCUGAAAGCUGCUUGCUGGCUAGAGCCGGAUAUUGAUUCAAGCUAGUGCACUUUCACAUUGUCAUCUUAUUAUACCAGCUAGUGGAAUCUCACUCAUUGCAAUGAGGGUAGGAAAACAGAAUCCAAAGCAGAUAGAAGAACCCUUAAAUGCUUUAUCUGUAGGGACUUCACCUAACCUCUUCCCCAAACAAACACACAGAUGUUUUAGGUUCAUUUUCCCAUUCAUUUUCUAACCACCUCAGUGUAGAAGCCUCUGGAAGUGCCAAGUGCUUUUUAACUCCCUCUGCCAUCCUGCAAUAGUUCACAUUGUCACCCAUCUGUCUGCCACCGAAAAUACACCCAGCAUCAGUUUUCACAAAACAUCUGUGAAGGCAGGGUCUUGCUCAACUAUCUUAGUUAAUGAAAAGCUAUUAGCUUGAUUGCAAGCUGGUAAUUGUUCUAGCCCUGCAGAAAAUGCCACUAAAAUAAUUUUUACAGAACUCUUUUAAUAACUAGCUAUUUUUGUAGCACAAUUGUUUUUGAAUCUCAUGAGGCCAAUGUGUAAUACAUGACUGUUCCAGCUCACAGCUCUCACCACUCAGAGGGUAUAUAUCAGGUUUCAAGUUGCUAAUUUGUUAUGGUAAUCAAUACCUUAUUCUUUUUAACCACAGAGGCAAACUCAUUUGCUCUUUUCAGUUUGAUAUUGGAUUAUGAAUGAUUUACAUCCAUAACUACUGCAAAUGCCACAUGACACUUCACAGCAUCAGCUAGGGAUUUAAAACUUGUUUUUCACUGGAUUUUCAACAGAAUUUGUCUGCAAGUUGCCAGAUGACAGCACCAGCAGUAUUUGAUGGUUUGGGACCAUUGUUCAAAGAUGAUCACAUAGAUAAUGUUAUAUUCAUAAAUAUUCACAUUAAAAAAAAUUGAAAUAGUCAGAUCUGAUGAUCAACCAGUCAGUCCUUUCCAUUUUACCAGCUACCAUCCAUGCCUGCUACAGUAGCAAAAAGCAGGAGCUUGGAACUUACCAGCUCUAUUACAUCUAUCAACACCUCUGAGUUGUGCAGGAACAUAAGUAAAUCUGAUAAACACGCCUGCUAAACAGAUUUGUGUCAGCUGUAAAGAGGCUUUUCAGAGUAUAAUUUCUUGAAGCAUUUCCCAGGUGUCAUCCUAGGUUAUAAAUUAUAUGUAAUCCAAAGUGUAAUCCAGAAGGAAAAGAGGAUAUGGAAAUUUCAGCAUCCAUUUCCCAGUGGUUGUAACUUCAUCUCACAUCAUCUCUUAGGUCCUCCUUAGGCCACCACAGUGAUGCUUUGCACAUUUAAGGAAUAUUGUGAAGACAAACAUGAAGGCCUAUAAAUAUAGAUCUGUUUACAGGAUUGGGGGUUGAUUAUAUUUCAAAUAUGUUAAUUUCUUAAUAUUUUUAAAGGUUAGAAUGACAUUUCUUUCUUCAUUUACAUCCCUGAAUUUCCCUGUCAUUCAGUGGAUUCCUUCUUUUGAUUCCUCUUUUAUAUAUAGAUUUUAAUUGGUUUUUAUUUUCUCAGCACCACAGAUUUGCCUACCUAUUCUUUUAAAAUUAAUUUAUUACCAAGUGCCACAGUCACACUUCAGUGUUUCAUCUGGGUGACACUAAACUGAAGCAGCUUAGUUUAUAGGCCAUGUAAUUUUGAUGAGUCUUAAUUUUGCAUGAAGAUCAAGAAGCCAGGGCAGCAAAAGUCCUUCAUGGAAAGUGCUUUCUCUCUGGAAGAACACUUGUAUGAUGAACUCGUUCCUUGAUUGAAACUAUUUCUAAUUACAUUAACCAUAUUCUCCCUCUAAUCUCCCACCAUUACUAAGCUUGUUAUUUCAUUUCCUGAAGUCCUUGCACUUUCUGACGUAUCCCAUAUGAAAAUAUUAUGGCUAUAUCUAACUCCAGCAUAUUUCAGCCUGAUGUCUUUAGCUAGACCAUAGAUAUUGAAACAUAUGAACCUUUUAUUUUGCUAAUAGUCCAAAAGAGAGUGCUUUGGCAUAAGAUCAGUCAGUGCUUGUCUAAUGUAAAUGGCCUUCAUAAAGCAUUGAUUUCGUCAUUUAUUUUAAAAAUUCUCAUAGCUGUUUUGUUUGUGAUAAGUAUGUACUCGGAGCAUUUCCAGAAAAACUUGACAUAGAGCAAAAUAUGGGAAGCGUUUGUAGGAGUUCAAUCAGUUGACAGUACAUGAAAAACCUCAGGGGAGAGAAGUUUGCCUUAUGCCUCAAGAGUGAGAGCUGUGCUCUGCCAGAGCACAGCAGGAAGAACCUUCUGCAGUAAGAGCUAUAGAGAACUGACUUCAAAUGCUGGAUACCAGUCUUCAAACCUCAGCUGAAACAUUCCUUAUUUCAACCGUGAAAUUGGGAGGAAGGGUGAUCUACGAGUACCAACACAUUAAUCACAGUCAGCAUCAAAUCACUACCUUGAACUGCAUCUUCAAGUCAUCUGGAAGGUCCCUUACUGGGAAGCUAUCAGCAUGCUGAAUGAUUUGAUGAACUUCCACCCAUGGCACAGAGCCCUACCAAGAAAUAAAAAUUCACGUCAAAAUCCCCAUUUGCUUCAGAUUAUGUUUUGGUGAGAUUUCAAGGAAUCAGUAGAGUAACUGAAGCACAGAAAUAUCUGCCACUUGAAGAGCCACCAGGAGCCCAGCAUGGAUUUGUAGUCUAUCAUAUUUAAUGUCGCUGAGUGAUCCAAAUGAAUUAUCAUUGAUUUUUCUGUAUAUUUGUGCCUCUCCAAGAUGUAAUCACUUAUUAAUAAUACCAAAACUGUUAUUCUAAGAGAUAUUUUGUCUCCAAAUUAUUGUGGGUUUUUUCAAUUUUCAUAUUUGUCUCUUCAUUAACAUGUUAUUAACAGGGUCAAAUUUUCUGGGAGCACACGUAUAUUAAAAUUGGCUUAACACUUCCUCCUGGAAGGAAUUAUGCCAUAAUCAGAUAACCUGUCUCUCCACCUUUCCCAAAUCAUGGCUUCAUUCUCCAAUGUGAAGGACUAUUUCUGACAGAUAAGUAACAGCUGAUUUGUGCAGAAUGGUCUACAUGUCACAUCAGAUCCUUUUUCUAUCAACAUUUAUUUUUUGACCCCUCAGGAACACACUACUUUUUCCAUCACCUUCCCUCACUAUUUUUAUUUUUUUGAGGAAAAUACUAUUACUAUUGCAGAGAUCUUGUAAAGCCUCCUAAAAGCAAGGAAAAAUGCUAAGCUUGUGCAUUGACACCAGCUGUCAGCUCAGCAUUUAGUUAAAAUGUUAAGAGACAGAGCCAAGGACAAAUUUGAAAGCAUAAUCUCAUAUAUAUCAUGAUGAAUCAUAUCUUGAAAUGUCUUACCUUAACUAGCCUGGAAGGGUGAUUGUAAGUGAGUUGUAAGCAAGAUGUCUGAGCUAUUCUGGAAAGGAACUACAUAGCGUGUGGCAAAUUUAUGUGCUGAAGGAAUAAAGAUUUACUAGCAGCUCUUAAAGAUGGUGUGAAUAUGUAUUAAUUAACAAAGUUUUGGUGACAUCAUUGGUAAAUUUCUUUUUACAGAACUACAGAUAUAGUAGAGAUGUAGUACUGUAGGAAGCCAUGUAGACAUAGGAAGAAAAUGAAAUAAAUGCUUUCCUGGCGAUCAGGAUUUCUAACUGAAGUCCAGAACAAUAUUUUGUUUCCUACAAGGUCCAUGAAAUGCUAAAAAUACUUUUUUAGGCCAUAAAUAUCUGUAAUGCUAUGAUAGCAUCACAAAGGUACCAGGAUCUGGCAUCAUCAUAAAGAACAAGAUUUCUCUGCAAGAUCCAAAUAUCCUCAAAACAUGCAAAUAAUAUAUUAUUGAGCCACUUUAGAUUUUAAAAAACCACGUCUUAAAUUUAACAUCACUGGAGAUGGCUACUUGUUCUAUGCCACCUACUCCUUGCAUCUGUGUCAAACCUAAUGUCAUAAAAGGUUAAGGAAAAAUAAUAAACAUAAUUUUUUUUCAAAAGAACCCAACCCCGUCUGAGAAGCCUUAGGACAACUGUAACAGAUGUUAUAGAUGCAUAGCCACACUGCAAGUGAGGAAGGGGUAAGUGUGAAAAAUAAGCACUACAAAAUUUCUCUGUAUAUCUUAAAUGCAGAGCAGUUUAAGCUAAAAGAUCAGAAGUUAAAAACAAAAUAAACUAGAAGGUGGCUGGGGAUGUUAUGAUCCCUUUACCAGAGAGAUGCCUCCACUCAAAUUAAGGUGAAAACAAGACCAUAGGCCAAAGUCAAUAGUACAGAUUUUAUUUACUCAUAAAUGUGAGGUAGAGAGAGGUAGAAAGAAAUAGAAAAAACAGAUGGGGAGAGAGGAGGGGAGAAGAGAGAGAGUCCACCCAUGGAUCCAGCAGCAUCCCAUUGUCUUUCUUCACCCUGGUCUUGUCAGCAAUGGGUUUCACAAAGCUGCAAAACUUCCUGAGGUUUCAAAACUUUUCACUACUUACACAUUUUAGCAAACAAAGGAGUUAGUGGAUACAGAGCUCUCUGAUUCAAACAGUCAAAUGAUUCUCUUGCUAAUUCCAAUGCUAAUCAGUCCCACGCUCAGCCUUUCUCUUCUUUUGACUAGGUGGGUUUUUUGAUUCCGUGGGUUGUGCACAAUCUCCCUCUGCCAGAAGCACCUCCAGCCAGCGGGAGCUUGUGGGGUGAGGGUCUGCAGUGACAGAGUCCCCAGGCAGUGCAAAGGAGAGCCCCCUUAUGGGAAAAACUUGGCCUUUUUAGGCAGGUAGCCGGUCAUUAGCCACAUGGUUUUAAGUCAUAACAAAGAUAAUUCAACCAACCACCAUACACCAUGAUGUGAACACAGAAUGGUUACAUAACUUGUUUGUGUAGCCCUAAUUCAGCUGAGUGUCUUUCCCAUAGUCCUUUUCUACUUAGCCAAAGGAACAGGCCUGAGCCAUGGUUUUACAAGGCCUCUCUUUUAUAAAGCCUUACGUAUCAGGAAGAGGAGCUGCCCUCAGCAGUUGCUGAGUUUUCUUCCCUUGGGGAUUCUUUGCAAUGAUUAAUUCCUCUCCCCACAGCUUGUUUACCUCCCCUCUUGGCCUGAGAUAAUGUGCAGAAAAUGGUACCACUUUUAUCUUGUUUCAAGUUCCCACCAAGUGCCUUAAGUGACAGUCCAAGUUUCAGGAAUCCAAAGGCAUAUUCAGGGGCCAGGGGGACACUUUGGUGGUCACAGAUCUCAGCUGUCCUAUACCUUGGGCUGAUAUUCAUUUGACUGUCAACAUGCUUAGGGGCAGUUGUCCCUCCACACAUUUUGUCACAACUGGGGAAUCUUUGUCUGGAUUCAUCACCCAGGAUGUGUUAGUCAACCUCACCAGGCCUGGAGUUAAAGACAUUCUGUGUUUAUGUCAGGGCAAAGUCCUUCUGUGAUUUAAACCGUGUUUGAGACAGGCAAUUGUGAACCUUACAGAGGCUCAGAAGUAUUUGGGAAUUAUUUGCCCCUCCUCUGCACUCAUCAGCAGACAUAACAAACAGUUUUGCCUGCAGUGUAAGGGGGAAGGGACACAGAGAAGCCCUGCCUGAGGAACAGUUCUGAAACAGGAACAGAAAUGUCUCCAGCUUUCACAAAGAAAUCCUGUGUGACAGAUGGAGAAAUUGUAGGUGUGAAGUAUAUUUGAAGUUUGCAUUUAUUUAUUUCUUCAUUCUUCUCUAUUCUAACUUUGCUGCCAGUAAAUAAUCAAGAACUUAACCCUUUGAAUUACUAUUUUUUUAUCUGAAUGCAUCUCUAGU